rnacentral:rRNA from 1 species
AUACGUAGGUGACAAGCGUUAUCCGGAUUUACUGGGCGUAAAGGGCGUGUAGGCGGUCUUGCAAGUCAGAAGUGAAAUUCCUGAGCUCAACUCGGGCGCUGCUUCUGAAACUGCAGGACUUGAGUGCUGGAGGGGAUAGCGGAAUUCCUAGUGGAGCGGUAAAAUGCGCAGAUAUUAGGAAGAACACCGGUGGCGAAGGCGGCUAUCUGGACAGUAACUGACGCUGAGGCGCGAAAGCGUGAGGAGAAAACAGGAUUAGAUACCCGGGUAGUCCACGCCGUAAACGAUGAAUACUAGGUGUAGGGGGUAUCGACUCCCUCUGUGCCGCAGUUAACACAAUAAGUAUUCCGCCUGGGGAGUACGGCCGCAAGGUUGAAACUCAAAGGAAUUGGCGGGG